CCUCUUAGUUCUUUGAAAAGAGAUUUCUUUUUCCUAUUCCCUUCUUCGUAUCCCUCUCACUACCAAGUAAAGCUAAUGUCAGAUUCGAAAACGACGUCGAAACUUCUCAGACGAAGGCUCCGGCCAAGGACCCCAAAAAGAAGGACGAGAAAGAGGAGGAUCAGGUGAGUUGUCAUUUAAUUUUUUCUUUGUUCAUCCAGAUGCUUUUGAACUUGCAUGCACCAAACCUUGGAAAGUACAAACCACAAGAAGCUCUUCGAACAAAUUCGAAGCAACCAAGGUUUGUUUCCAAGACGCCAAUGAUGAGGAAGUUGCCACCGAUAGCUCGAAACUCGACGAUUCAAUUGUCGCCGUUGAUAAAGCUAUCGAAGAUGUCUCCAUGGGAGAAUCUGAAGUCUCUUUUGUUGAUUGCGACGGCGAUGAUGAUAAAGCCUGUGCUGAUUGUUACUUUGAUUCGUACUCUCAUUUCGGGCUGAGCUUAUUAAGAAGGCCAAAUGUAUGCACUUUCCUGAGGAGGUAAUACAAUAUUCCUGCAAUUGAACUACUUAUAUGCAAAUGCUACAGAUGGUAUUCAAUCUGGUUCCCUAGAAAAUCUGCAAAUGGAUGACUCAAUUGUUGUUGGCUAUGGACUACCUACACUCAAACCGUGUUCUUCAUAGGGAUAUGAAGUAAAAGAUUUCAAAAGGGUUGAAAAGAGUGAAAAAAGAGGGAGAGAGAAUUGAAUGGGCUGAAAAUGGACAGAGAAGUAGAGAAAGGGUUACCAAAAUAGAAAAUGGCAGCAGAAAGGCGGCAUUUAGUGAGUGAUGAAAAGAGAGUGAAAAUGAAGGUCCCUACACAUUCCACUGUGAAGUCUGCAGUUAAGAACUACGACCAACCGAAAACUACUACACCUCUAUUGCUCCAGCCCCUGCAUCUGACACACAGAUUUCCAGCAAGAAUGUUACAGAAAAUGGGAAUAAUCAAAUUAUAAAAGCUGAGGGUCCCUCUAUAUGCGUCAUAGGUCUGCCCUUCAAUGCUACACCUAGUAUGCUGGAGAAUGAGUUUAAGAAGUUUGCACCUAUUAAGAGUGGUGGUAUUCAAGUUCGAAGUCAGAAGGGGUUCUGUUUUGGUUUUGUAGAAUUUGAAAUGGCAAGUUCUGUGCAAACUGCUAUAGAGAGCUGAAUACAAUAUAGACGGUGAUAUGUUGGAUAGAGAGUUGAUGUUAAAAGGAAAAUGAUAUUAAAGAAAGAAUAUAGAGGUAUAGUUUUAAGAUAAUGAAUAUUAUGUUUAAACAAUAUUUACUUUAUUAUUAUGCAGUCUGCAGCAUUGCGCGGUUCUGCAAACUAGCGAGAAGAAAAUUAGGGAUAUUAUGAUCAAAAGGUCCAGUGUAGUGGCUCACUGGUUCUUUUUCCUUGAAUUUAAAAUUAUUGGCUUUGUAUUUGGACAUUGCAUUGAUUGUUAACCAAAUGACCUCAAACGGUGCAAUUGCACCAAAAAGUUGUUAAACCGCAUUGUAUCCAGGUAGUGUUUAAAUCUAAAUGAAACCUAAGCGUUUUCCUACAA